GACGAACGCUGGCGGCGUGCUUAACACAUGCAAGUCGAACGGAAAGGCCCUGCUUUUGUGGGGUGCUCGAGUGGCGAACGGGUGAGUAACACGUGAGUAACCUGCCCUUGACUUUGGGAUAACUUCAGGAAACUGGGGCUAAUACCGGAUAGGAGCUCCUGCUGCAUGGUGGGGGUUGGAAAGUUUCGGCGGUUGGGGAUGUACUCGCGGCUUAUCAGCUUGUUGGUGGGGUAGUGGCUUACCAAGGCUUUGACGGGUAGCCGGCCUGAGAGGGUGACCGGCGACGUGGGGAAGGAGUCACGGCACAGACGAGGAGAGGGGGCAGAGGAGGAGAAAGGUGAACAGUGGGGGGACGCGGGAUGCCGCAGCGCGGGGUGGGGGAUGAGGGCCGGGGGGUUGUACCGCGCUUGCGGGGGGGAGGAGGAGGGGGUGAGGGUGAUGAACAAAGAGGAACGGGCUAACGCCGGGCCAGCGGCCGAGGGAAUAGACGGAAGAGAACACGUCUAAC
rnacentral:rRNA from 1 species